rnacentral:rRNA from 1 species
CCUACGGGUGGCAGCAGUGGGGAAUAUUGCGCAAUGGGCGAAAGCCUGACGCAGCGACGCCGCGUGAGGGAUGAAGGUCUUCGGAUCGUAAAACUCUGUCAGCAGGGAAGAACGGUCACUGUGCUAAUCAGCAGUGAAUUGACGGUACCUGCAAAGGACGCACCGGCUAACUCCGUGCCAGCGGACGCGGUAAUACGGAGGGUGCGUGCGUUAAUCGGAAUUACUGGGCGUAAAGCGCUCGUAGGCGGUAUGUCAAGUCAAGGGUGAAAUCCCCGCGCUCAACGUGGGAACUGCCUUUGAAACUGGCAAACUGGAGUGUGUGAGAGGAUAGUGGAAUUCCAGGUGUAGGAGUGAAAUCCGUAGAUAUCAGGAGGAACAUCAGUGGCGAAGGCGACUAUCUGGCACAUAACUGACGCUGAGGAGCGAAAGCGUGGGUAGCAAACAGGAUUAGAUACCCGGGUAGUC